GAUCCUGGCUCAGGAUGAACGCUGGCGGCGUGCUUAACACAUGCAAGUCGAGCGAAGCGAUUUAAGUGAAGUUUUCGGAUGGAUCUUAGAUUGACUGAGCGGCGGACGGGUGAGUAACGCGUGGAUAACCUGCCUCACACAGGGGGAUAACAGUUAGAAAUGACUCCGCUAAUACCGCAUAAGCGCACGGUACCGCAUGGUACAGUGUGAAAAACUCCGGUGGUAUGAGAUGGACCCG
rnacentral:rRNA from 1 species